CAAAUACUCCCUCCGUCCGGAAAUACUUGUCAUCAAAAUGGAUAAAAAGAGAUGUACCUAUUCUUUUUAUCCAUUUUGAUGACAAGUAUUUCCGGACGGAGGGAGUAGAAA
rfam:Triticum aestivum genome assembly, contig: Triticum_aestivum_CS42_TGACv1_scaffold_163633_2DL